CUGGCGGCGUGCCUAAUACAUGCAAGUCGAACGGUCUUUCUAUGGAAGCUUGCUUCCACUGAGAAGAUAGUGGCGAACGGGUGAGUAACACGUGGGUAACCUGCCCAUAAGAGGGGGAUAACAUCCGGAAACGGGCGCUAAUACCGCAUAGUUUUCUUGAUUGCAUGAUUGAGAAGGAAAGACGGCCUUUGUGCUGUCGCUUAUGGAUGGACCCGCGGCGUAUUAGUUAGUUGGUGAGGUAACGGCUCACCAAGACGAUGAUACGUAGCCGACCUGAGAGGGUGAUCGGCCACAUUGGGACUGAGACACGGCCCAAACUCCUACGGGAGGCAGCAGUAGGGAAUCUUCCGCAAUGGACGAAAGUCUGACGGAGCAACGCCGCGUGAGUGAAGAAAGGUUUUCGGAUCGUAAAACUCUGUUGUCAGAGAAGAACAAGUUGGAGAGUAACUGCUCCAGCCUUGACGGUAUCUGACCAGAAAGCCACGGCUAACUACGUGCCAGCCGCUGC
rnacentral:rRNA from 1 species